UCAAGCCCAAAAGCCUUGAAGAUCCGUUCAUCCAUCAACCUUUAAGAUCAAGCCCAAAGGCCCUUGAAGAAACUUCCCUCAACCUUCAAGAUUAAGCCCCAACGGCUUUUGAAGAAAACUUUUAACCGUUCAUCCAAGAUCAAGUCUUGACGGCCCUUGGAUCAAUCACACAUCCACAAAUCAACACCUUACGGAGAUCAAAUCAGAGGAUCAAAUUUGAGAGAGAUUGUAACCCUAAAAUCAUUAAUACAAAAUAUUAUUUUGUACACGUGUUCUUGUCUCGUUUGUUUCAGGAAUUUCUGUGUUUACAAUAACAAUAUAUAACUUUUACAACAGAAGAUAAUAAGAAGAAUGUAGGGUAGCAUAAAGAAAGAGAGGAGAACGUAGGGUCUUAAUAAAAGUUCGUUUGACAAUGCUUAUGCAGGAAACGAUUUUCAUGUGCAUUCAACAACAGUUUCGUA
rnacentral:lncRNA from 1 species